rnacentral:rRNA from 1 species
AGGGAAUCUUCCACAAUGGACGAAAGUCUGAUGGAGCAACGCCGCGUGAGUGAAGAAGGUUUUCGGAUCGUAAAGCUCUGUUGUUGGUGAAGAAGGAUAGAGGCAGUAACUGGUCUUUAUUUGACGGUAAUCAACCAGAAAGUCACGGCUAACUACGUGCCAGCAGCCGCGGUAAUACGUAGGUGGCAAGCGUUGUCCGGAUUUAUUGGGCGUAAAGCGAGCGCAGGCGGAAUGAUAAGUCUGAUGUGAAAGCCCACGGCUCAACCGUGGAACUGCAUCGGAAACUGUCAUUCUUGAGUGCAGAAGAGGAGAGUGGAACUCCAUGUGUAGCGGUGGAAUGCGUAGAUAUAUGGAAGAACACCAGUGGCGAAGGCGGCUCUCUGGUCUGCAACUGACGCUGAGGCUCGAAAGCAUGGGUAGCGAACAGGAUUAGAUACCCUGGUAGUCCAUGCCGUAAACGAUGAGCGCUAGGUGUUGGGGACUUUCCGGUCCUCAGUGCCGCAGCAAACGCAUUAAGCGCUCCGCCUGGGGAGUACGACCGCAAGGUUGAA